GACAGAGGUGCCGAGCGUUAGGCGGAAUCACUGGGCUUAAAGCGUGUGUAGGCGGAUUGGUAAGUACCUUGUGAAAUCCCACGGCUUAACCGUGGAACUGCUUGGUAUACUGCCUGUCUUGAGCCAGCUAGGGGCGACCGGAACAAAUGGUGGAGCGGUGAAAUGCGUAGAUAUCAUUUGGAACGCCAAUGGUGAAAACAGGUCGCUGGGGCUGUGCUGACGCUGAGACACGAAAGCCAGGGGAGCAAACGGG
rnacentral:rRNA from 1 species